CUGGCUCAGAACGAACGCUGGCGGCAGGCCUAACACAUGCAAGUCGAGCGCGCCCUUCGGGGUGAGCGGCGGACGGGUUAGUAACGCGUGGGAACGUACCCUUUGGUAGGGAAUAGCCACUGGAAACGGUGAGUAAUACCCUAUGAGCCCUUCGGGGGAAAGAUUUAUCGCCAAAGGAUCGGCCCGCGUUAGAUUAGGUAGUUGGUGGGGUAAUGGCCUACCAAGCCUACGAUCUAUAGCUGGUUUUAGAGGAUGAUCAGCAACACUGGGACUGAGACACGGCCCAGACUCCUACGGGAGGCAGCAGUGGGGAAUCUUGGACAAUGGGGGCAACCCUGAUCCAGCCAUGCCGCGUGAGUGAAGAAGGCCUUAGGGUCGUAAAGCUCUUUCGCCUGUGAAGAUAAUGACGGUAGCAGGUAAAGAAACCCCGGCUAACUCCGUGCCAGCCGCCGC
rnacentral:rRNA from 1 species